GUCCUCCGGUUUGUCUUCAGAUCGUAUAAAUCUUUCGCCUUUUACUAAAGAUUUCCAUGGGGAGGAACGCGUACGAGUCUUACGAAAAUUUUUGUGGCACCAUUACGGUGGAGCC